UACGAGGGGGGCUAAUGUUGUUCGGAAUCACUGGGCGUAAAGCGCACGUAGGCGGCUUUCUAAGUCAGGGGUGAAAUCCUGGAGCUCAACUCCAGAACUGCCUUUGAUACUGGAGAGCUUGAGUCCGGGAGAGGUGAGUGGAACUCCGAGUGUAGAGGUGAAAUUCGUAGAUAUUCGGAAGAACACCAGUGGCGAAGGCGGCUCACUGGCCCGGUACUGACGCUGAGGUGCGAAAGCGUGGGGAGCAAACAGG
rnacentral:rRNA from 1 species